rnacentral:rRNA from 1 species
AUAGAAAGCUUAAAUAACUUGCUUACAAUCCCUUCUGAUCUUGGAAGCUAAGCAGGGUCAGGCCUGGUUAGAACUUGGAUGGGAGACCACCUAGGAAGACCAGGUGCUAUAGGUG